UUUUCCAGCAUGCAUUCAACCGCAUCGUGUAAGCGUUAUUAUUGUUGGCGGUUUAUCAUUGGUCUCCGGAGCUUACAAGUCGUGGCUUAAAACUGCAUUAUACGGUACUUCGCGGUGGUCGUAAAGCGGUCUCUCGUCUCAUGAAAGCAUAGAAUAUUAAGCGAGAAGUAAAUACGCGAUGCGGUUAUAUAGAUGCAGCUUUUAUAUUGCAAUAUACACUUGUGUAUGUGUUGUACGCGCACGUAUGUAUGCCUAGAUACACAUGUAUAUAUACAUUCCUCCAGUCGAUUUUUCGGAACUGUCUCUGAUCAUGCAGAGCAACAUCUCGAAUCGAAUGCAAUCACAGCGUGAUAGCUGUACCAACGCUAUUAUUGCCGCAGAAUAUGAUAAGCAUGGUAGCUAUCGGUUUGUGGGUAAUGGUAAUUACGCAGAGAGCCCUAAGGCAACGAGGGAGAUGGCAACAAUACUCCGCGCUUGGGGUGAUGCAGAGCUAUUAGCUUCGAAUCUGAUAGCCAUAAUUAUGCUCACGUCUCAGAUCUCGUUAUGUCUCGACUUGACAAUUGUAAUUGU